rnacentral:lncRNA from 1 species
CCUGAUUUCUCAGACCGGCUCAAGCCCCACCUACUCCAGGAAGCCCUCCUGGCCCCCUUAUCUGAUAGCCUGUAGUAGCUACUGUCUAGCUCACAACUCGAAACCUCUGAUCAUGUUCUGUAGAGUACACCCGCUCAACUGAUCCAAUGCAACCAAUACAGUAUUGGAAGCUUUCUACGAACAAGGCACCCAGAGAGGGCUCGGAGGAAGAUGACAGUGCCAACGGGCACAGGGAGAAUCGUGAGCUUACUGCACCUUCCCAGCAGGCAGAGUGAGCCCGUAGGACAAGAGCCCCCUUUCUCCGUUUCCCAUCUGCCCUGCAGCCCCGAGGAACGGUCCAUUCUACAGACAAGAGGCCUGACGCUCAGAAGCAAAGCAACUUGCCACAAUCGCAUCACCGGUAAGUGCCUGAACCUCAUCCAAACCUGAUCCCUGUGGCCCCAGAACUCACAGGAAAACCUCCUCUCAUAGGAGGUUUUUAAUGACACUGUGUUCAUUGGCUCCUUGCUGCUGUAUCUUUCUCCCCCAGUGUGUGUCUACUUCUGCCGGGCUCUCGCCCUCCCUCCUCACUCUGCAUGGUGCACACACCCUUAGUGGCUGUGCAUUUUCAGCUUGCUUCCUUCUUUUCUCUAAAAAUCUCCGCUUUGCUCUCCCUUUAUUUCGCCUUUCACGCACUGAGCAGCGAUUCGUUUCCUAUUCCACAUCGCCACCUGGCGGCCAUGGAGAGAGAACACCGCGCGUUUUUUAUCAAGCGGGCAAAGGCAGGGGAAUCCUCACGCCAAACGGGUUUGAAGACCUCUUCACACGGACGGCCAGGUCUCUACGGGACUCGCCCUUACACUAACUCCACUACAGCCCGCUCUGUCGGUGGAGGAAAUAGACGUGGAAGGCUUCCCUUCAUCACCUGGUGGCUGCCGGGCCACAUCCUGUACAAGCCGGGGCCAGCUCUAAGUCUACCCCAAAGCCUCAGCGUGCCUCUUCCCUCUAACUCAGGCGAAAGUACCUUCAAGACAGUCCUGGACGCGGUGGCUUCACGCCUGUAAUACCAGCACUUUGGGAGGCCAAGGCAAGAGGAUCACUGGAUCACUUGAGCCCAGAAGUUUGAGACUAGCCUGGACAACAUAGUGAAACCCCUGUCUUUACAAAAAUUGAUUAAUUAAUUAAUUGUUUAAAAGAGACUAUUCCUCAUUCUUUUGACAUCAUUUUAAAUGAGAAUGCAGAAUAUGACAUUGUACAUACUGAUAUUUGAUUCCUUUUAUAUAACCUUUCAUGUAUUAAAAAACUGCACUGAAAAUCUAGAAUUAAGUUAAAAUUGGUGUGGGUUAUUUGUGAAUGGUGGGAUUUUUUAAAUGUAUUCCAACACCCAUAUAUUCCAACUUUUCCACACUUCCAAAGUCUGGAAUACUUUGAGGAUGGGGAGGAAAGAUAUGUUUACGGUCCUUGGGAAACUGAAAAGCAUUUCCUGUGAUGUCCCAGGGAGCUGGGGCACAGGAGCCAGCCUUGAAGUGGAAACCCCAGGCCAUCCACUCACAAUCUGAGUAUCCUUGGGUGAGUGAUCUCUCUAACCUCCCAUCGAGUCCCCUGUAAACUAGAAAUAAUUAUAGCUGCCCACAUCACUGUCUUACUAUAAGAGUAAAAUGAGAUAAUGUAUUUUAAAACAUUGGUAUAGUGUGAGUAUUCAAUAAAUAUUCUUUGAGUGAAUUUAGUGCAUUGUUUUGUUUUGUUUUUUUGAGAUGGAGUCUCACUCUCACC